AUUUUGUUAUUUUAUAUAUCAUAAAAAUGUUUUAAAUAUGCUUAAUAAAAGAAUGUAAAUACUAGUACAAUUUCAUUUAAAAAUUACAUUCUGGCUUAAAAUAUAUUUUUAUAAAAAUAUUCUUUAUAUAAUUAUUAGAUUUAAUUUUUUACAUUAUUAUAUUGUUAGGUAUAUAUAGUUUUUAUAAAUUAUAAAUAAAAACAUAAGAUAUUUAUUCUAUUUAAAACUAAAUA
rnacentral:tRNA from 1 species